rnacentral:rRNA from 1 species
UACGUAGGUGUCGAGCGUUGUCCGGAUUUAUUGGGCGUAAAGAGCCCGCAGGCGGCUUGUCUAGUCCGAGGUGAAAUCUCCCGGCUCAACUGGGAGGGUGCCUCGGAAACUGGCAGGCUUGAGGCAGGGAGAGGGAUGUGGAAUUCCAGGUGUAGUGGUGAAAUUCGUAGAUAUUCGCAAGAACACCAGUGGCGAAGGCGGCUCACUGGCCCGAUACUGACGCUGAGGCACGAAAGCGUGGGGAGCAAACAGG